CUGUGUUGAACAAUAUACACAGUGCCGACACAAAACAGAAAGGGAAAGAACAGUCCCUAGGAACAAAUAAUUGUCUGGAAUGACCCUGGAGGUUGGUAUUUGGAGUCUCGGGGGAGGGGGGGACGUAUGCCAAGAGUUGAAGAUUUGAGAAAAUUCUUUUCCAGAACGGCUUCAGGGACAAAGACUCUCUCUUGAGGACUGAAAUGGCGAGAAAGAAAUAUUUAAUAAAUAGCUACCAGCACUGGAUUAAGAAGUUGGCUCUAAUCUGUUCUCUUCCAUUAACUCACUCUGUUUCCUGCGGGAAAGCAAUUGCCUUUUACAAGCUGGAGUGAAUAGUUCAGCUGGAAAGGGGAGUCCGAAGAUGUGAGGCCCAAAGUGAACUUCGCUACUGUGCUUAGUUGUUCACAUAUGGUUUGCGGACCCUGGAAAGUCCAGCCUGAAUUCCUGAGGGAUGCUGGAAGGAGUGAAGUGAGAGACUGACACGUGUUCCCAUCCCAUCCCUGUAGCCUGGAGACAUUUCCAGCUGAAAGAAAAGUAUAAAAGACACAGUAACUGUGAAAUGCUGAAGAUUCCUCAAAUCAUUCUUCAGCCCUCACUUUGGUCACGAGACGAGGCAAAAGGUGGAGAACGAUUUAACCUGGGCCACCUGGUGAAGCCCUUGCAAAGUCUACAGCAGAGGUCAGACCUUCUGAGCAGCAAGGAGCAGCGAGUCCUGGGCCCCGUCACUUGGACCAUCACUGACAGCAGCUCUGGUCCAGAGCAUUCAGGAGGGGGCCGAAUGAUGCAGGAGAAACAGGGUAACAUGCUGUAUGAUGACUCACCGUGGCAGACUUAUAAUCACUUUUUAACGAGGUGA
ensembl:lncRNA